rnacentral:rRNA from 1 species
GACGAACGCUGGCGGCGUGCCUAAUACAUGCAAGUCGAACGCAGUGGGGACGGGUGAGUAACACGUGGGUAACCUCCCAUCAGAGGGGAUAACACUUGGAAACAGGUGCUAAACCGAUACUGAUGGAUGGACCCGCGGUGCAUUAGCUAGUUGGUUAGGUAACGGCGCACCAAGGCCACGAUGCAUAGCCGACCGUGUAGGGUGUUCGGCCACACCGGGACGGAGACACGGGCCAGAAUCCUACGGGAGGCAGGAGUAGUGAAUCUUAGGCAAUGGACGAAAGUCCGACCGGGCAACGCCGCGUGAGUGAAGAAAGUUUGCGGAUCGUAAAACUCUGUUGUUAGAGAAGCGGUAUCUAACCAGAAAGCCACGGCUAACUACGUGCCAGCAGCCGCGGUAAUAC